GAAUCAUUAGAGCAACGGGCAGAGCCCGCGUCGAUCUUUUAUCUAAUAAAUGCAUCCCUUCCAGAAGUCAGGGUUUGUUGCACGUAUUAGCUCUAGAAUUACUACGGUUAUCCGAGUAGUAGUUACCAUCAAACAAACUAUAACUGAUUUAAUGAGCUAUUCGCAGUUUCACAGUCUGAAUUUGUUCAUACUUACACAUGCAUGGCUUUGUCACGCCCCCAAUCCUGAGUAGGAUUGUUGGGACGGCCAUGGUUCGAGGAAACGUGCAAGCCAGUCUUAGGACAUCAAGGCAAGCGUUCCAUGGUCGAGAAAGAAGGUUAAGGACAUAAGGAAACUUAGACUUAACCUUAUACAAGCUAAGAGACAGCUAGGAAGAGUAAGACGGUAGCUGGACGAAGUGGACGAGUAGCUCGGCCAGCUCAAUGAAGCUAGGUUCAGUUCACUCCAGCUCAGUCCCUACUAAGUCAGCUCCACUAGCUGGACUACUAGCUCACUCAGCUGAGGCAGCUGAGAGUCAGCUCAUCUCAGCUAGACGGACUGUCCGGGCUUUAGGCCGAUGGUCCGGGUCCGGGUCAGUGGCGGGCUGUGAGGUCCGGCCAUGAGGCCAUGGGCUGUUGGGUCUUAGGACAAGGCAGUGGGCUACGUCCAGGAGGCUUGGGGCGUGGGUUGGGCUUGUGGCCAACCCCAAACCCAAUCAUAAAGGGCGAAGGGAUGCAAGUGGCCGAAAGGGGAUAACCCUUGGCCGAUGGUGCCCAUUCAUUAUCCAAUUCCAGAGUAAAAUACUCAGAGAAAACCAUAGAGAGAAAGAAAGAGAGAAAGAGAGAGUUCCGGCCAAGAGAAAGGCCGAUUGUGGUGGUGUUGUGUUCCGGCGACACUGAUCGUUUGAGAACUAACUCCGGUCAAGAAUGGAAGAUCACGACAAGGAGAAGAGCAUGGAGAACCCAGACGUGGCUCACAAGGUAUGUGAUGGGCCGUGGCUCCAUCAGACCGAACGGACGGUCAAUGCGACCGCACCGCGGCUCUGCUUGGUUCCUAAGUCCCAUCCGGCUCUCCUUAUCUGUUUCAAUUCGUUUCUCUUAUCUUCUCUCUGGUUAAACACGAAGGGUUGUGUUGGUUGAGUCCAAGGGACACGUCCCUAGGCUUUGGCCGAACAUAAUCAAACCGCUAGCCUAGACACGGGUCGGUUAGUGGGAUGAUCCGAUCGCACCAAGACUGGGCGGUUAGGACGAACGGUUGGGAAUGACCCAAGGGGCACGAGUUGUCAAGAGUCACGAGUGUCCAAGAGGCACGAAUGGCCAAAGGGUACAUGUUCCAAACGGUGUCUUUCGGGACAGGUUAGGACCGAUCCUUAUGGAUCAGCCUAUGGCUUGUCUAGUCAAGACAAGGUCACGGUUUGUCUAAGCCAAGGUGGAGUCGCAAGGUCUGACCGGUUGCUAAGCCUUCCGGAUUAGGCUUGAGGCUUACUCGGCCGAUUGGAUCCAGGCCUAAGGCCGGAUCAGGAAAGGGAGUCCGUUGGGCCAUCGAGCCGGACUCCAUUGGCCGGUCGCACCUAGAUUCUAUCCGGUUAGACGGAUUGGUCUUUGGGGACGAUUCGGAUCUGUUCGUGUGUUCUGUUUAUCUAUUCUGGACUAUCUAUCUGAUUCUAAGUCAAGGGGUGGUUGGUUGAAUGACUUAGGAUACGGUAGGUAGGUUCAUACGUUUUAUGAUUAUGUUGACUGAGGUUUAUCUAAGUUCUAGGAACCAAGCCAAGCAUUGUAGAAUCAAUCCGUUCUAUUCUCGGUUAUGAUUAAUGCUUAUCUGGUUGUGGUUUCAGGAACUAAGGAUGGUUCUGGUCAAGCCAAGGAGCCGUGAAGGCUCGGUCAGUGAGAGGCUGUGUAACGUGUGGUUAGAUGAUACUAGGGAUGAACUAGUGAUUGUCUAUGAGACUGUUAAGAAGUUGUGUAUUGAAUCUCAUGUUUCUAAGUAAUACAAAGUUUAUACAUUGUUAUUCCGCUGUGCAAUCUGUUCCUUUGUUUAUGAACCUCAUAUUCGAAUAUGACUUAGCAAAUAAAAGACUUAAAAUGGAUCAAACGAGCAAAGAAAUUAAUAAGUAAGCAUUCGUAUCCAGUUGGGUCAAGAGACCAGGAACGGGUCUUACAGGCUUAAUCUUUGAGACAAGCAUAUGACUACUGGCACGAUCAACCAGGUA
rnacentral:lncRNA from 1 species